UACGUAGGGACCAAGCGUUGUUCGGAUUUACUGGGCGUAAAGGGCGCGUAGGCGGCUUAACAAGUCACUUGUGAAAUCUCCGGGCUUAACUCGGAACGGCCAAGUGAAACUGUCAAGCUAGAGUGCAGAAGGGGCAAUCGGAAUUCUUGGUGUAGGCGGUGAAAUGCGUAGAUAGUCAAGAGGAACACCUGAGGUGAAGACGGGUGCUGGGCUGACACUGACGCUGAGGCGCGAAAGCCAGGGGAGCAAACGGG
rnacentral:rRNA from 1 species